rnacentral:rRNA from 1 species
UACGAAGGGUGCAAGCGUUACUCGGAAUUACUAGGCGUAAAGCGUGCGUAGGUGGUUCGUUAAGUCUGUCGUGAAAGCCCCGGGCUCAGCCUGGGAAUGGCGAUGGAUACUGGCGAGCUAGAGUGCGGUAGAGGAGAGUGGAAUUCCCGGUGUAGCAGUGAAAUGCGUAGAGAUCGGGAGGAACAUCAGUUGCGAAGGCGGCUCUCUGGACCAGCACUGACACUGAGGCACGAAAGCGUGGGGAGCAAACAGG